rnacentral:rRNA from 1 species
GCAGUGGGGAAUAUUGCACAAUGGGCGCAAGCCUGAUGCAGCGACGCCGCGUGCGGGAUGACGGCCUUCGGGUUGUAAACCGCUUUUGACUGGGAGCAAGCCCUUCGGGGUGAGUGUACCUUGCGAAUAAGCACCGGCUAACUACGUGCCAGCAGCCGCGGUAAUACG